UACGUAGGGUGCGAGCGUUAAUCGGAAUUACUGGGCGUAAAGCGUGCGCAGGCGGUUUUGUAAGUCAGAUGUGAAAUCCCCGGGCUUAACCUGGGAAUUGCGAUGGAGACUGCAAGGCUAGAAUCUGGCAGAGGGGGGUAGAAUUCCACGUGUAGCAGUGAAAUGCGUAGAGAUGUGGAGGAACACCGAUGGCGAAGGCAGCCCCCUGGGUCAAGAUUGACGCUCAUGCACGAAAGCGUGGGGAGCAAACAGG
rnacentral:rRNA from 1 species